rnacentral:tRNA from 3 species
GGGCGAUUAGCUCAGUGGGAGAGCGCUACCUUGACACGGUAGAGGCCACUGGUUCAAUCCCAGUAUCGCCCACCC